UUCAGUUCUCAGCUGGUAGAGCAUGAGACUCUUAAUUUCAGGAUCGUGGGUUCGAGGCUCACACUGGGCAAAA